GACGAACGCUGGCGGCGUGCUUAACACAUGCAAGUCGAACGGAAAGGCCCUGCUUUUGUGGGGUGCUCGAGUGGCGAACGGGUGAGUAACACGUGAGUAACCUGCCCUUGACUUUGGGAUAACUUCAGGAAACUGGGGCUAAUACCGGAUAGGAGCUCCUGUUGCAUGGUGGGGGUUGGAAAGUUUCGGCGGUUGGGGAUGGACUCGCGGCUUAUCAGCUUGUUGGUGGGGUAGUGGCUUACCAAGGCUUUGACGGGUAGCCGGCCUGAGAGGGUGACCGGCCACAUUGGGACUGAGAUACGGCCCAGACUCCUACGGGGGGCAGCAGUGGGGAAUAUUGCACAAUGGGCGGAAGCCUGAUGCAGCAACGCCGCGUGCGGGAAGACGGCCUUCGGGUUGUAAACCGCUUUCGCCUGUGACGAAGCGUGAGUGACGGUAAUGGGUAAAGAAGCACCGGCUAACUACGUG
rnacentral:rRNA from 1 species